rnacentral:rRNA from 1 species
GACGAACGCUGGCGGCGUGCUUAACACAUGCAAGUCGAACGGAAAGGCCCCUUCGGGGGUGCUCGAGUGGCGAACGGGUGAGUAACACGUGGGUGAUCUGCCCUGCACUUUGGGAUAAGCCUGGGAAACUGGGUCUAAUACCGAAUAGGACCGCGCAUCGCAUGGUGUGUGGUGGAAAGCUUUUGCGGUGUGGGAUGGGCCCGCGGCCUAUCAGCUUGUUGGUGGGGUGAUGGCCUACCAAGGCGACGACGGGUAGCCGGCCUGAGAGGGUGUCCGGCCACACUGGGACUGAGAUACGGCCCAGACUCCUACGGGAGGCAGCAGUGGGGAAUAUUGCACAAUGGGCGCAAGCCUGAUGCAGCGACGCCGCGUGGGGAUGACGGCCUCGGGUUGUAAACCCCUUUCAGCAUCGACGAAGCGUUAUGUGACGGUAGAUGCAGAAGAAGCACCGGCCAACUACGUGCCAGCAGCCGCGGUAAUACGUAGGGUGCGAGCGUUGUCCGGAAUUACUGGGCGUAAAGAGCUCGUAGGUGGUUUGUCGCGUUGUCCGUGAAAAACCUCACAACUCAAUUGUGGCGUGUGGCGGAUCACGGGGCAGACUGGAGUACUGCAGGGGAGACUGGAAUUCCUGGUGUAGGCGUGGAAUGGCGCAGAUAUCAGGAGGAACACCGGUGGCGAAGGCGGGGUCUCUGGGCAGU